rnacentral:rRNA from 1 species
AUGCAGCUGCUGGAGAGUGGCCUGAAGGUGAAGGAGUAUGAGCUGCUCAGGAGGAACUUCAACGACACCGGAUGCUUUGGCUUCGGUAUCUAGAGCACAUCGAUCUCGGUGGGAAGUAAGUUGAAUUGGUGGCAACACUUAUGUCAGUGA